rnacentral:rRNA from 1 species
GUAGUCCACGCCGUAAACGAUGAAUGCUAAGUGUUGGAGGGUUUCCGCCCUUCAGUGCUGCAGCUAACGCAAUAAGCAUUCCGCCUGGGGAGUACGACCGCAAGGUUGAAACUCAAAGGAAUUGACGGGGGCCCGCACAAGCGGUGGAGCAUGUGGUUUAAUUCGAAGCAACGCGAAGAACCUUACCAGGUCUUGACAUCUUUUGACAAUCCUAGAGAUAGGACUUUCCCUUCGGGGACAAAAUGACAGGUGGUGCAUGGUUGUCGUCAGCUCGUGUCGUGAGAUGUUGGGUUAAGUCCCGCAACGAGCGCAACCCUUAUUGUUAGUUGCCAGCAUUAAGUUGGGCACUCUAGCAAGACUGCCGGUGACAAACCGGA